CAGAGACCUGAAGGAACUGUGUGGGGUGGCAGUGGGGGACAGGCUGUUAGGCCCCACAGUGGGUACAGGGACACGCCCAGGGAACCCUGGCUGCUCCAGCCCCUGCUCCACCUGUUUGUCUUCCUGGCCCAGCUACCAACGUGGGAAUGAAGGAUCCUUGAAACUGACCCAGCCCUGACCACCGUGUGACUGCCAUCUCACAAGAGGCCCCAGAUCAGAGUCGCGCAGCUCAGCUGCUCUCAAAUGCCUCGUCCCCAAGACCCACGAGAGCUAAAUGGACAACAAUUGCUGUUGUAAGCCGCUAAAUUUUGGACCCGGCUCCACGUUUCAGCUGACCCACGACAGGGAUGGCCAUCUCAGUUUACGAAUGCAGAAACUAGGCUUUGGAAAAUUUAAACACAUGGAAGAUGUGACGAAGAGAAAGCAGAGCUGGGACACAGGGCGACUCCUGCGUCUGUGCUCUGCCCUCUGCUCCACUGGAUACUGGAUGAGGUGGAGAACAAGUGAGCAAACGUGCAUUUUUCUGUAUUUCUCCCCAAGCCUGUCAGUGUUCUAGGACUGAACACAGGAUCACUUUGUGUUUGGAACGACACCACCUGCUCAGAGUCCCCUAGCUAACUGCCACAAACAGGCCUGAGGCUGGGCGUGGUGGUGCCCACCUGCAAUCCCAGUGAUUUGGGAGGCUAAGACAGAGGAUCACAAGUUGGAGGCCGGCCUCAGAACUUAGUGAGACCUCGUCUCAAAAACGCAGCAGCUCCAGGCAGCACUUCUUGUUGGAGUGCAGUUGGCAGGCCAGAGGCCCCGGCUGCCCUGAGGAGGUCAGGAGGAGGCUGUGCAGUCCCCAGCUCAGGCAGGCCAGGAAGAGCCGUCUGGCGCGUGGUGAAGAAUGGCAGAGGAAGAGAGAGCAAGCAAGACCGGGAGUGGGGGAACCGUGCAGCCCGUGACUGAAGUUCCAAAGAACGUGGAGCAAGUCUUCAGGAAGAAGACGGAUGUGCGCUGCUUAGAGACCAACAACCGGGCUCUUUGGGAGGCCACUGGCCUGGGAACAGCCCCAGCUGAGGAAGGCAGCACAGUCCACAUUAAAACUGCCGUCUUGACCUGGGAGUGGAGGUACUUGUAAAAUGCAGAAACCAAUGUUCCAGAGAAUUCAUUCCCCUUCACAGCUGUCAAGCACCCAUUGUAUGGGGCGUCAGGGGUCAGUUCACUGCUGGGCUCUUAAUGUACAGAAAAUGUUUUAUGCCCCGGAGGAGUGUGAGGUCUGGAAGGUACUAACUCGUUUUGGAGGCCUGUCGGGAGCCAGGUCCGAUGUUGGGUGACUUACUUAAAUCAUCUCAUUUAAUCUUGACACCAAUACUAUAAAAUAGGCAUUAUUAUCUUUACCAAAAACAGAGAAAUUAAAUAUCCUGCUUGAAGUUAUGUAUGGCAAGCAAGUGCUGGCAUUUUAACCCAGGUUAUUCCAAUUCUAAAGCUCCUAGUUGGUCCUCGGUAGACCCGUCACUCAGUCUUACAGGGUCAUAAUUAUAUUUCUGUGUGCAGGCUGAAUGGAACUGGGUAUAGGGAGCUUGGAGUCUGCAGAGGAGGAAGGUCCAGGGAGGGGAGGUGAUUUCACACAAGUUGUUCCACGUGGGCCGUGAAGGACGAGGAGGAGUGCAGUGGUUGGAGAUGGGCUUUGUAGUCAGGGAGGUGCUCGAGGGAUGGGAAAGGGGGCCUGGAAGGAUGCACCAGGGCUACCCUGUGGGCCUUGGCGAGCACUGGGGUUUUUAAGCAGGAAGGCCACCUGGGAACAUUUGCCUUGGGAGAGGCCGUCCUGGCGGCUCUGUGGGGCACUGCCAGGUGCAGGGAGCUGGGACGGUUUCCCUGCCAUCUCAUGCUGAGAUGACAAGCACUGUCUCUUUUUCUUUGCUUGUAAACCCUCACCUCCUCCUGGGGGCCCAAGUUAGUGAGUGCCCCACCAUGCCCCCACCAAUCAAGCCAGGAGCCUUGGCUGGCCGGGGUGUGGUGGUGCUGGCCCUGAGUGAGCUUCCACGGCCCUCGACUGACUUCUGUGUGUCCAGUUAUGCCCUUGAGGCUUGUGCUGAUCUCCUGGCUGUGCCGUUUCCUCUUAAGCUCUUCCUAAUUGGGCUUUUGCACCAAUUCUGCCCCUGGGAUCCCUGUAUUAGCUUUGCUCUGGUCUCCCUGCCUCUACCCUUGCCUUGGACAUUUUGCAGUCAGAACAAUCCCUCUACAACAGAAGUCAGCCCCUCAUCCUCUGCCUUUGCAAUGAGACCCCCACACCAUCUUUAGCAGCUGCCCCGCCCCCUGGGUUUGCAGAGGCAGGGGCCACACACUUCUGUGCAACCAGUUCACUUUCAGCGCUUUACAUCUUCUUUGAUAGUAAUCUGAACUCUUUAGAGAUUUUUUAAAAAUAGAUCUUUAUUUAUUUUUAUGUGGUGCUGAGGAUUGAACCCAGUGCCUCACGCAUGUGAGGUGGGCGCUCUACCUCUGAGCCCCAGCCCCAGCCCUCUUUAGAGAAUUUUAAGUCUCAGAAGUUCUUUCCGUGUCUCUUCUCUCAUAGAAACCAUUGUCUUCCUUUUACACAUAAGAAAGUUGGCCUCGUGGUUACAUGACUUGUCUAUUGAUAGUGACCAUUUCUGACACCUCCUCUGUGCUGGGCACUGUCAUGUAGCCUGUGCUUCCAACAGACUCAUGAAACAGGUAUUGUUCUCUGGGAGGCCCCGGGGCUGGGAGAGCUCAGUGUCUGGAUGCUUCUGUAACUGGUCUCAGGCCCUCUGCCUGCACCAGGUAGGGCCAGCUGGGCUCAGCCCGUCUUUGCAUGCUGCUCCCCCAGAGGUGGGCUCUGUGAGGGAGGUGCUGUGACCUCAGGCUCUUCUUAAACAUCUUGGUGCUAAUCUUUCCUGAGAAAGUUCUUCCUGAUAAAUAUGACACAGUUCCCGCAUCAGUGCAAGAUGGUCUUUGUUUUCCCCUCAGCUACAUCUGGGGGGAGUUCUUUUGGAGCUGGGAGAGACCCAGAUGGCUGGACGCUCCCAUUCAUGUUAUCUUCUCAGGUGUAGAAGAUUGUUGAGGCGUAUCAGCUAGUUUCUGAAGCCAUGGUUUCAAAUCUUUUUCUUUCAGGACACAAAUUUAUUUUUCAAAUGUUAUUUUAUAUAUAGCUAAAUAAAAAUCAAGUAAGUCUGGGGGCUGGGGAUGUGGCUCAAGCGGUAGCGCGCUUGCCUGGCAUGCGUGUGGCCCGGGUUCAAUCCUCAGCACCACAUACAAAGACUAAAAAAUAAAUAAAUAUUAAAAAAUUCUCUCUCUCUCUUAAAAAAAAUCAGGUAAGUCUGAAAAGUGGUACCUUUCCCCAGGACGUCAUUCACUUGAACAAUUAGCCUCCUCAUAAAAACAAUCUGUGAACAAAGAAAAUAGAUUAAAAAAAUUCAUUUGACGAGUGUUCACUGUCUGUGAACACAGUGCUUUGUGCUUAGUUUCUACUUUGUAUGGUUGACAUCCAGGUAAUUUUUGAGCCCAGGUCCUUGAGAAACUUAUCUCUAAGAAAGAAAGCAGAACUGAUCCGGACUGAACCUGAUCUGCCGGGCCAGCUCUCUCCUGUUCAGCCCAACAUUCCUAAUUGGUCAGAUUCAAUGAAACGACAUCGUGUUCCUUAGCCAGAGCCAGAGGUGGGAACCUGAGACCUGGGGCUCUCUCCCCAAGGCUGCUUUGUGUUCUCAUGGGGAAUGUCCCUCUUCACUGUCAAGCUGGGGCCUCUGUGUGUGUGUGUGUGAGAGAGAGAGAGAGCUCUGGGCACCUCCCUCCCCCACUGGACACUAGAGGGCAGGGGUCUUUCCACUACACAGUGUCAGUCCCCAGUGGGUGGUGACGUCAUCUGGAGGUCCUUCCUCUUCACAGCCCAGCCGAACAAUUCCACUUUUCAUCUGACACAGACCUGAUCUCCUUUUCUCUCAGAAGCCACCGUUGCUUGCCUCUGCCCAUCAGGAAUUUCUGAUCCUUGACAGAAAAUUACCAUUGCACACAGAUGUCGAUCUUGGGCACCGUUUCCUGUCUAGCUUCCUCUUUCCUUUAAAGGCCGCAUCACAUCUCAUAAUAUUAUUAUUAUUAUUUAUUUUUUUAGUUGUCAAUGGGCCUUUGUUUUAUUCAUUUAUAUGUGGUGCUGAGAAUUGAACCCAGUGCCUCAUACAUGGUAGGCAAGCACUCUGCCACUGAGCCCCAACCCAGCCCCAACAGCUCAUUAUUGAUGCAGCACAACUUGCUUAGCUCCCAACUGGCAGACUUUUACGUUGGCAUUACAUUUGGUAUUAUAAACAACAUUGGAGAGAAUAUCAGGGUCUUUUUAUCUUGACAUAUUUGUCCACAAAGACAUGUAGGGUAAGUGCCUACCAUUAAUGCUCUAGGGUAAAAGGCAUUACACAAACCUGUUUUUCAUAGCUAUUACCAAUUGAAUGGGAGUGGUUUCAAGCACAUCCUCUCCAACACUGGGUAUCAUAAGUAUUUAGAGUUCACUUGGCGUACGUGUGUCAGACUGGGUUAGCACACAGCUGGCGAGGCACCUAACACCUGUAGCACACCUUCUGAAGAGAGCAUGUUCACCUCCCCCACUCCUGCCUAGAACAACCCACUCUGAGAUGGUAUUCAGCAGUGGGACCUCUGGGAGAUGACUUGACCAUCAGGGGAGGCCUCAGGACUACACAGUGCCCUUAUUAAAGGACCCAGAGAGUUCUGAGCCUUAAUCUUAUGCUUUCCAGUCUCCAAAACUGAGAAUAAAUUUAUGCUGUUCAUAAACCAUCCAGGCUGCAAAAAUCUGUUAUAGCAGCUUGGCUAAGACAGUUCCUUUUUCUCCAGAGAGAGGACUUUUUUCCCCCACACAUUUUUAUGGGUUCUUUAUAGUUGCACAUAAUGGUGGGAUUUGUUGUUAUAGAUUUGUGCAUGUUCACAAUUUUAGGACAAUGAAUUUUGGCCGACGUCCUUCCACUUUCUUGCCCCUAAAGCGAGGACUUUCUAAAUGCUGUGAUAUUGAACAAAAAUCAUUUGAGUCCCAGUUUUCUUAUCUGGAGAACGGGGCUGAGACCACCUCCCUCACCAAGAUGUUGUAAGGGUUAAACAGCGCAGUGUAAAUGAAGAGCCCAGCCCAGUGUUUGAGGAUGCCCAGCGGUUGGAAGGAACCUUCUCUUUGUGUUCCCUGCACACAAUGGCAACCAAGUGAGGAAACUCAGUGCACUACCAUGGCGCCCAACAUCUGCGAACACGGGCCUCACCCAGUACUUUCAGAGUGGGUCCACUCAAUGCCCACCACCACCCCGCAGUGGUGCUGUGACUCUCCCUACUUCAUGCCAACUUCAAGUUCCAUGCUAGUUAGCCGUGGCUUCUGGAACCAGAACUGGGAUCCUGAGUGCUCUGCCUCCAGCAGGUCAGUUGCCGGCCUCUGGUUUGCCCCGUGCUUCCUGCCAAGCGGCCUGGUGCCCAGGCUGGUCUGGCCUCCUCAGCAGAGUUUCCCCGCCUCCCCUGGGCAUGCCAGGACACUCAUGAGCACCACCUGUCGCUAAUUACACAGUGAUUAACAAGGACAGUAGAGGAAAACAACAAGAUGUUUACUUCAACAAGGUUAAAACACUUGUAAUUCCUUAUUUCAUUUAUCCAAAGAUUGGUUUGGUAUGUACUGGAUAUUGUAGGAAGCCCUAGCUCUAAAAUCAAGCCCCGCGUGGAUCUCCAGCAGCCACAAUUUUGCUUCAGACAUGCGUCAGCGUGCCUUUAACAAGCCAAGAGCUUGGGUGUUUGCAAGUGAGUAUGUAAAAGGGCGUUUUAAAUAAUUAUAAAUAUUCAUAGUUUGUCUUCACUUUUUAUAGCUUCUGUGUAGAUGUUAGCAGGGAGAACUGUAGAAAGAAUUGUGAACUCUAAUUUUGAAAUAGAGAAUAACCCCCAAAGCCCAAAGGAGAGGUCAUUUUGUUUUAAACACAAACGCCUAAUUUGUGCUAAGACACAGGUGAUGGAUGGUGCUGACCCUGUUCUCAUUUCACAAAUGGACAUCAAGGCUGCAAGCACCUGGUGUGGGUUUACAUUAGGACAGAGACAGAUCUGUGGGGCACGUGCUGGGGCUUUCAGAAGGGGCUCUGCUCUGUGCGUUAAACAAAUGUCACACUAUCACCCAGGAAAAACUGAAAGGAUACACAGCACAGUAUUAACCCCAUGUGGUGGGGUUAGAGGACACUUUACACCUUGCUGAAUGGCCUGAAACAUUUAAAAGAGAAUUGAUUUUUAAAACUCCGCAGGAAAAUGAAAACACCGUUUACUACUGACACGGUCCUGGCCCCAGUGUCAGUGGCCCUUGGCUGGACUCCCUCUCCAGCUGACCUCAGAGCCAUCUCAGAUAGGCCAGUGGACGGUUCUUCCUCUCACUCCAGUCAGAGGUGAGGGCUUGGGCUGCUGCUUCACUCCAGGCGGGCAGAGGUCCUGGUGUGUCACUGGGUGGUAAGAGAGCACUUCUGCCCCCUGACCUCUGCCUGCCCCCUGGGGUCAGCACAUCACCCCAGAGUUCCAGAGCCCUGGCUGUGUGUUCUGGGAUAGCAGGCUUGAGAACUGGAUGUCCAGCUUCUGGUCAAGCUCUGCCUCUUGGGCGGCUCAUCCAGCCGGUUGGAGCCAGUUUCCUUAUCUAUGGAGGGCAGGUACUAGUAUUAUCAUUUUGGGGUUGUUUAAAUAUUGCAGAUAAUAUAUAGAGAGUGUUGACCAAAGCACUUGGCCUUUGCUCACCCAACAGCCGUUCAUUGGCCACCUGUUUAUUUGCCAAGCACUCCUUUGGCCUUAUAGAGUAAAUGUACUUUUUUAAAAAAGAGGAACAUCUGUUUUAUUUUAUGUAUUUUCAAGCAGUACAGUACCAUGCACCAGGGUUUAAAUGCGUCAUCUCUGCCCUCCAACAAACAGGCGGUGUGAGCAGUCACCUGUGGCCACUGCAGCUAGCUUUGCCAUUAUUCAUAGUCAAAGUUGUGUUUUGGGGGGGUCUUGCUUUUUUUUUUUUUAAAGCAAACAAGAGGAAA
rnacentral:lncRNA from 1 species